GUGCGAAGAUUGCAUAUCAUACCAAAUAAUGAAACCAACUUCUUUAAAAAUAUUAUCUCCGUAUCUGCGUUUACAUCAGGGAAAAAACUUUUCAGUAACAAUUUAUGGAAAAGAUCAGCGUCUUUAUGUGGAAUCAAGACUCUCAUAAUAUACUCAAUAGUAUACGGUCAUAUAACAUUUUAUAGUUUCGAAAUGUUUAUCGUUUCGUGUAAGUAUAUAUUUAUUUAUUUUUCUAUCUUUUAUCCCAUUUUUCACCGAUGAAUACUAAACUACGGAGAUUCUAUGUCCACUACCGCUCAUUCUUGGAAGGAUUAUUACCAGGUGAAGACUAUGGCUUAAUGAUUCAAUUCCCACGUCUGGAAGACCGUGAUAUUAGAUUAAAAAGUGAACCUGGAUCUGCUAAUGUGGAAUCUAAGGAAGUUGGUGGAAGCAGAGCAGUCUCACACUGGUGGAAUCAGCCAAUAAUAAAUAUUUAUUGUCAUAAGGAGAUUACAAUAAAAGGGGAAUUCAUUUUUGUAUUCCCCUUUUAUUGAAUCUAUUCAUUUCUAACUAGAAUAAAAAAGUUAUAUAAAUUAUAUUAAAUUCGAUUAUAUAACGGUGUGAAGUUGGCCCCCACUUUUGAAUUUUUGAGUUUUUUCUUUUGCACUCGUUUGCACCUCGU
rnacentral:lncRNA from 1 species